rnacentral:rRNA from 1 species
AGCGUACACGGUGGAUGCCUAGGCAGUCAGAGGCGAUGAAGGACGUACUAACUUGCGAUAAGCGCAGAUAAGGCAGUAAGAGCCGUUUGAGUCUGCGAUUUCCGAAUGGGGAAACCCAACUGCAUAAGCAGUUACUGUUAACUGAAUACAUAGGUUAACAGAGCAAACCGGGGGGAACUGAAACAUCUAAGUACCCCGAGGAGAAGAAAUCAACCGAGAUUCCGGUAGUAGCGGCGAGCGAACCUGGAUUAGCCCUUAAGCACUCGGUGAAGUAGGUGAACAAGCUGGAAAGCUUGGCGAUACAGGGUGAUAGCCCCGUAACCGACGCUUCAUCGAGCGUGAAAUCGAGUAGGGCGGGACACGUGAUAUCCUGUCUGAAUAUGGGGGGACCAUCCUCCAAGGCUAAAUACUCCUGACUGACCGAUAGUGAACCAGUACCGUGAGGGAAAGGCGAAAAGAACCCCUGUGAGGGGAGUGAAAUAGAACCUGAAACCGUGUACGUACAAGCAGUAGGAGCACCUUCGUGGUGUGACUGCGUACCUUUUGUAUAAUGGGUCAGCGACUUAUAUUCAGUGGCAAGGUUAACCGUAUAGGGGAGCCGUAGCGAAAGCGAGUCUUAACUGGGCGCUCAGUCUCUGGAUAUAGACCCGAAACCGGGUGAUCUAGCCAUGGGCAGGUUGAAGGUUGAGUAACAUCAACUGGAGGACCGAACCGACUAAUGUUGAAAAAUUAGCGGAUGACUUGUGGCUAGGGGUGAAAGGCCAAUCAAACUCGGAGAUAGCUGGUUCUCCCCGAAAGCUAUUUAGGUAGCGCCUCGGACGAAUACUACUGGGGGUAGAGCACUGUUAAGGCUAGGGGGUCAUCCCGACUUACCAACCCUUUGCAAACUCCGAAUACCAGUAAGUACUAUCCGGGAGACACACGGCGGGUGCUAACGUCCGUCGUGGAGAGGGAAACAACCCAGACCGCCAGCUAAGGUCCCAAAGUAUUGCUAAGUGGGAAACGAUGUGGGAAGGCUCAGACAGCUAGGAUGUUGGCUUAGAAGCAGCCAUCAUUUAAAGAAAGCGUAAUAGCUCACUAGUCGAGUCGGCCUGCGCGGAAGAUGUAACGGGGCUAAGCAAUACACCGAAGCUGCGGCAAUAUCUUUUAGAUAUUGGGUAGGGGAGCGUUCUGUAAGCCGUUGAAGGUGGGUCUGUAAGGGCUGCUGGAGGUAUCAGAAGUGCGAAUGCUGACAUGAGUAACGACAAAGGGGGUGAAAAACCUCCUCGCCGGAAGACCAAGGGUUCCUGUCCAACGUUAAUCGGGGCAGGGUGAGUCGACCCCUAAGGUGAGGCCGAAAGGCGUAAUCGAUGGGAAACGGGUUAAUAUUCCCGUACUUCUGACUAUUGCGAUGGGGGGACGGAGAAGGCUAGGUGGGCCAGGCGACGGUUGUCCUGGUUCAAGUGCGUAGGCUUGAGAGUUAGGUAAAUCCGGCUCUCUUUAAGGCUGAGACACGACGUCGAGCUGCUACGGCAGUGAAGUCAUUGAUGCCAUGCUUCCAGGAAAAGCCUCUAAGCUUCAGAUAGUCAGGAAUCGUACCCCAAACCGACACAGGUGGUCGGGUAGAGAAUACCAAGGCGCUUGAGAGAACUCGGGUGAAGGAACUAGGCAAAAUGGUACCGUAACUUCGGGAGAAGGUACGCUCUUGAUGGUGAAGUCCCUUGCGGAUGGAGCUGACGAGAGUCGCAGAUACCAGGUGGCUGCAACUGUUUAUUAAAAACACAGCACUGUGCAAAAUCGCAAGAUGACGUAUACGGUGUGACGCCUGCCCGGUGCCGGAAGGUUAAUUGAUGGGGUUAGCGCAAGCGAAGCUCUUGAUCGAAGCCCCGGUAAACGGCGGCCGUAACUAUAACGGUCCUAAGGUAGCGAAAUUCCUUGUCGGGUAAGUUCCGACCUGCACGAAUGGCGUAAUGAUGGCCACGCUGUCUCCACCCGAGACUCAGUGAAAUUGAAAUCGCUGUGAAGAUGCAGUGUACCCGCGGCUAGACGGAAAGACCCCGUGAACCUUUACUACAGCUUGGCACUGAACAUUGAACCUACAUGUGUAGGAUAGGUGGGAGGCUAUGAAGACGUGACGCUAGUUGCGUUGGAGCCGUCCUUGAAAUACCACCCUUGUAUGUUUGAUGUUCUAACUUAGCCCCUGAGGACAGUGCCUGGUGGGUAGUUUGACUGGGGCGGUCUCCUCCCAAAGAGUAACGGAGGAGCACGAAGGUGGGCUAAUCACGGUUGGACAUCGUGAGGUUAGUGCAAUGGCAUAAGCCCGCUUAACUGCGAGAAUGACGGUUCGAGCAGGUGCGAAAGCAGGUCAUAGUGAUCCGGUGGUUCUGUAUGGAAGGGCCAUCGCUCAACGGAUAAAAGGUACUCCGGGGAUAACAGGCUGAUACCGCCCAAGAGUUCAUAUCGACGGCGGUGUUUGGCACCUCGAUGUCGGCUCAUCACAUCCUGGGGCUGAAGUCGGUCCCAAGGGUAUGGCUGUUCGCCAUUUAAAGUGGUACGCGAGCUGGGUUUAGAACGUCGUGAGACAGUUCGGUCCCUAUCUGCCGUGGGCGUUGGAAGAUUGAAGGGGGCUGCUCCUAGUACGAGAGGACCGGAGUGGACGAACCUCUGGUGUUCGGGUUGUGUCGCCAGACGCAUUGCCCGGUAGCUAAGUUCGGAAUUGAUAAGCGCUGAAAGCAUCUAAGCGCGAAGCGAGCCCUGAGAUGAGUCUUCCCUGACGGUUUAACCGUCCUAAAGGGUUGU